ACUCCUACGGGAGGCAGCAGUGGGGAAUAUUGGACAAUGGGGGAAACCCUGAUCCAGCGAUGCCGCGUGAGUGAAGAAGGCCUUUGGGUUGUAAAGCUCUUUUGUGAUGGAAGAUGAUGACGGUACAUCAAGAAAAAGUCCCGGCUAACUUCGUGCCAGCAGCCGCGGUAAUACGAAGGGGACUAGCGUUGUUCGGAAUGACUGGGCGUAAAGGGCGCGUAGGCGGUUUUUUAAGUUUGUUGUGAAAGCCUUGGGCUUAACCUGAGAUGUGCAAUGAAUACUGGGAGACUGGAGUAUGGAAGGGAAGAAUGGAAUUGCGUGUGGAGAGGUGAAAUUCGUAGAUAUACGCAGGAACACCGGUGGUGAAAACGGUUCUUUGGUACAUAACUGACGCUAAGGCGCGAAAGCGUGGGGAGCAAACAGGAUUAGAUACCCUGGUAGCUACG
rnacentral:rRNA from 1 species